rnacentral:rRNA from 1 species
AUUGAACGCUGGCGGCAGGUCCAACACAUGCAAGUCGAACGAGUGGCGGACGGGUGAGUAAUGUCUGGGAAACUGCCUGAUGGAGGGCGAUAACUACUGGAAACGGUAGCUAAUUUCGCAUACCACCGGAUGUGCCCAGAUGGGAUUAGCUAGUAGGUGGGCUAAAUGCUCACCUAGGCGACGAUCCCUCACUGGUCUGAGAGGAUGACGAGCAGCACUGGAGCUGAGACACGGUCCAGACUGCGGCGGGAGGCAGCAGUGGGGAAUGUUGCACAAUGGGCGCAAGGCUGAUGCGGCCAUGCCGCGUGUAUGAAGGGGGCCUUCGAGUUGUAAAGUACUUGCAGCGGGGAGGCGUUACCCGCAGAAGAAGAACCUACAGACCGCGAGCCAGCAGCCGCGGUAAUAC